rnacentral:rRNA from 1 species
GAUGAACGCUGGCGGCGUGCCUAAUACAUGCAAGUCGAGCGAACAGACGAGGAGCUUGCUCCUCUGACGUUAGCGGCGGACGGGUGAGUAACACGUGGAUAACCUACCUAUAAGACUGGGAUAACUUCGGGAAACCGGAGCUAAUACCGGAUAAUAUAUUGAACCGCAUGGUUCAAUAGUGAAAGACGGUUUUGCUGUCACUUAUAGAUGGAUCCGCUCCGCAUUAGCUAGUUGGUAAGGUAACGGCUUACCAAGGCAACGAUACGUAGCCGACCUGAGAGGGUGAUCGGCCACACUGGAACGGAAACACGGUCCAGACUCCUACGGGAGGCAACAGUAGGGAAUCUUCGGCAAUGGGCGAAAGCAUGACGGAACAAGACCGGGUGAGUGAGGAAGGUCUUCGGUUCGUAAAGCUCUGUUAUUAGGGAAGAACAAAUGUGUAAGUAACUAUGCACGUCUUGACGGUACCUAAUCAGAAAGCCACGGCUAACUACGUG